rnacentral:rRNA from 1 species
GACGAACGCUGGCGGCGUGCUUAACACAUGCAAGUCGAACGCACGGCCUUGGGGUUUUCUUGGGGUUGGUGAGUGGCGAACGGGUGAGUAACACGUGAGUAACCUGCCCCCUUCUUUGGGAUAACGGUCGGAAACGGCUGCUAAUACUGGAUAUUCUGCUUCUGCCGCAUGGUGGGGGUUGGAAAGAUUUUUUUGGAUGGGGAUGGGCUCACGGCCUAUCAGCUUGUUGGUGGGGUGAUGGCCUACCAAGGCGUCGACGGGUAGCCGGCCUGAGAGGGUGACCGGCCACAUUGGGACUGAGAUACGGCCCAG